rnacentral:antisense_RNA from 1 species
UGUGGGAGCGAGCUUGCUCGCGAUGGCGGUGUAUCAGCCGAAGAUGCAUCGACUGACGGAUUGCUAUCGCGAGCAAGCUCGCUCCCACA